rnacentral:rRNA from 1 species
CGCAUCUGUGCAUGCAGCAUAUCAAUAAGCGGAGGAAAAGAAACUAACAAGGAUUCCCUCAGUAACGGCGAGUGAAGCGGGAAGAGCUCAAAUUUGAAAUCUUGAAAGGUCACCUUUCACGAAUUGUAGUUUAAAGAAGUGUUUUCUGUUACGAUCGUAAUAUAAGUUCUUUGGAAUAGGACAUCACAGAGGGUGAGAAUCCCGUCUAUGAUUGCGAUUUGUAGCUUUGUGAUACACUUUCAAAGAGUCGGGUUGUUUGGGAAUGCAGCCCAAAACGGGAGGUAAAUUUCUUCUAAGGCUAAAUAUUGGCGAGAGACCGAUAGCGAACAAGUACCGUGAGGGAAGGAUGAAAAGAACUUUGAAAAGAGAGUUAAAUAGUACGUGAAAUUGUCAAAAGGGAAGCGUUUAACACCAGUGUUGUUUUCUGAAAAUCAACCUCUGUUAGCUUUAUGCAUGUUUGUUUAGACCUAAUCAGCUAUCUUGCAUGUUCUAUUGUUUGCAGUGGUGCACUUUUCAGUUUACAGGUCAACAUCAGUUUUUUUUACCGUAAAAAAGUUAAAGAAAGGUAGCUCAUGGCUCCGGUCGUGAGUGUUAUAGUCUUUUUCCUAUGCGGUAGGAGAGACUGAGGUCUGCAGUGUAGGCUAUUUGGCUAGAUACUCAGGUGCUAUGUGAUACCAUUUCAUAAACAACUUGUUGAUUAUGUUUUGUCUAUUGCAUACUCGCUUGUACUAUCAUACCUACGCUUAGGAUGUUGACGAUCAGCUGAGCGCG